rnacentral:rRNA from 1 species
GGGUCGGUCCGGCCUCGAGUUGUAAUUUGCAGAGGAUGUUUCGGGUGCGGCGCGGGUCUAAGUCCUUUGGAACAGGGCGUCAGAGAGGGUGAGAAUCCCGUAUGCGACCCGCGACCAACCCCCUAUGAAACCCCUUCGACGAGUCGAGUUGUUUGGGAAUGCAGCUCAAAAUGGGUGGUAAAUUUCAUCUAAAGCUAAAUACCGGCCAGAGACCGAUAGCGCACAAGUAGAGUGAUCGAAAGAUGAAAAGCACUUUGGAAAGAGAGUCAAACAGUACGUGAAAUUGUUGAAAGGGAAGCGCUUGCGACCAGACCUGUCCGGGGGCGAUCAACCUCCGUUCUCGGGGGUGCACUCGCCCGCGAUCAGGCCAGCAUCGGUUCGGGCGGUCGGAUACAGGCCUUGGGAAUGUAGCUUCCUCCGGGGAGUCUUAUAGCCCUCGGUGCAAUGCGGCCAGCCCGGACCGAGGACCGCGCUUCGGCUAGGAUGCUGGCGUAAUGGUCGUAAGCGACCCGUCUUGAAACACGGACCAAGGAGUCUAACAUCUAUGCGAGUGUUUGGGUGUCAAACCCAUACGCGGAAUGAAAGUGAACGGAGGUGAGAACCCUGAAGGGCGCAUCAUCGACCGAUCCAGAUGUCUUCGGAUGGAUUUGAGUACGAGCAUAGCUGUUGGGACCCGAAAGAUGGUGAACUAUGCCUGAAUAGGGUGAAGCCAGAGGAAACUCUGGUGGAGGCUCGCAGCGGUUCUGACGUGCAAAUCGAUCGUCAAAUUUGGGUAUAGGGGCGAAAGAC